UAAGGUACCUUCUAGCCGAAGGUCGUCAUAACAAUUAAAAAUCCCAAAUAUAAUCAAAUCAUUUGCAAUUCGUGUCUUGACCUGUUUGGUCGUAUUAGUCUAAACUGUGUAAUUUCAAAAACAAAAUUUAUAUUUUUUCUCUAAUACUUUAUCGUCUUAUUUUUUAUUUCCAGAUGAACAGCUUCGGGAGUGCUCAAUUUUUUUUUUUUUUAAUUUUACUAAUUAUUUUUUUCUUUCCGGGAGUGUUCGAAAUUCUUAAAACCGCGAUCGCUUAAAUAUUAAAAAUGUAUUUUUAUCUUAUUAUUUUAAAAUUCGGGAGUGUUUGCGAAAAUUUUUAAAUCGUUUUUCCAGCAUAUCAUCUCAUCUGAAUUAUCUUCAAAUCUUCUCAUCAUACAUCGGAUGCAGACUAAGAUUCCACUGCACAACAUUUUUGCCUCAAUAGAAAAAGAUGAACAGCUUCCGUAGUGCUCUAAUUUUUAGUGAAUAAAAAAAUGUCCUUUUUUUGUCAGUUUAGUACAAUUUUUUUUUGUUGCGGGAGUGUUCGAAAUUUUUUAAAUCGCGAUCGUUUUUAUCUUUAGAAAAAGUAUUUUGUUUCUUAAUAAAUUUAAAUAUCCUUUCGGGAGUGUUCGAAAUUUUUUUAAAUCGCGAGUGUUGAAUCUUCUCUUCAGAUCUUCUUCUUCUUCUUCUCCUCCAAAAUGAUACAUUGGUUGCUGAAUAAAGAUGGAAAAAGAAGAAUAAACGUCAUGCUGUUCUUAACUGGAAAAUUGAGACAGUCGACAAUUUCAAUUUCAUUUUAUUUUUACGACAAGAGAAGGGAGAAGUAGAGAACUAGCGCAACAAUUACUUGGAGAAAAAGUCGAGAGCUUCUAAAGUGAUUUCAGUGACUUACUUUCUGAGAAUUAGCAUCGUGGUUGCGACACAUGAUAAGGGCAAGGUUUAAAAUGAGAAAAAGAGACUUUCUUCCAAGUGUCACAUGCGCAAUUGAUCCUCCCAAUUCUGUAACUCGUUUAGCGCUCGGACGAAAGCUCUAUUAGUAGUCAGAUAGCAGCAAGCGUCAAUGGCUCCCUCGCUGCUACCCGACUACCAAUAAAGCGUGCGGCCGAACGCUAAACGAGUUACAGAUUUGGGAGGUUCAAUUGGGGAAAAAAAGAGAAUACGAUAGGAAAAAGAAAGAAAUACAAAGUGAAAUGAGUAUUAUAUUAUAUCUAAUUAAAUUUUUGAAUAUGAAAAUUUUAACUAAUGAUUUUUAUGGGAAAUUCAUGCGCCUUGAAGAAGAAGAAAAGAAAAGGAGAAAAAAAGAAAGAAGAAGAAGAAGAAGAAGAAGAGGUUGGAAUGAAUGAAGAAGAAGACUCGUGAAUUGAAGAUGAAAAGAGAGGACAAGUAAUUUCCUUCAUAGAGGCGUGAGAAGCAUACCGAAAGGCACAAACUUGAAAGGAGUGAGAGAGAUCGCGUUAGAAGUAGAAGAUGCGCCACGAAGUGUGUAUAUAUAUACGAGUCCAAGCUAAACUAAAUAAUAUUGAUGGCAAACGGAAAUUGAAAGCCGUUAAACUCUUCAGCGUUGCGGUUCGAAAUGGCUGCUGCAUAAAUAAGACGACAUGAAUUAGGAUUAGAAACAGUGUUUCCCAACUUAGAAUUAAAUUCUUCGUUGGGUUAUGACCUCCUGUUAAACUAAACCCUGAAUACGCACCGGUGAUUCCGCAAGUUUCCUCAUACUCAUAGAAUCUCUCUUGAGUAUAGCGAAAAUUCCAUUCCGUUAAGGAGAUUGCAAACUGUUUGCUGUCUGAAUAGAAUUCAAUUUCAUCGCUUCACCAUAAAAGACAAACAGAUUAUUUUACAUUGAUAUUAAAUUCAACAAAAGUCAAAAAAUAAAAAAAAAUUACCUUCCUCAAAUUUAAUUCCUUUCUAUUUAGUAAUUAAUUAUUAUUAAAACAAUAAACUUCCUCAUUUAAAAAAACUGUUUCAAAAUGUUAAAAAAAUUACCGACAUAGAAAUCUACCUUACCGACUGAUGGUAAAACAGAUUUUUUGAAAAAUGAUAA